rnacentral:rRNA from 1 species
ACUCAAAUGAAUAGACGGGGACCCGCACAAGCGGUGGAGCGUGUGGUUUAAUUCGAUACUAAGCGAAGAACCUUACCAAGGUUUGACAUCUCUGGAAAGCUCUGGAAACAGAGCCGUGCCGCAAGGAGCCAGAUGACAGGUGCUGCACGGUUGUCGUCAGCUCGUGCUGUGAAGUGUCCCGUUCAGUCGGUUAACGAGCGCAACCCUCAUCCUGUGUUAAAUUUCUCACAGGAAACUGCCUCAGUUAAUGGGGAGGAAGGUGAGGAUGACGUCAAAUCAGCGUGGCCCUUACACCUUGGGCUACACACGCGCUACAAUGGGGAGUAACAAUGGGUCGCCAAGCCGCAAGGCGGAGCUAAUCCAAUCAAACCUCCCCCCAGUUCGGAUUGCAGGCUGCAACCCGCCUGCAUGAAGUCGGAAUCGCUAGUAACGGCCGGUCAGCCAUACGGCCGUGAAUACGUUCUCGGGUCUUGCACACACCGCCCGU